rnacentral:rRNA from 1 species
UACGUAGGGACCAAGCGUUGUUCGGAUUUACUGGGCGUAAAGGGCGCGUAGGCGGCUUGACAAGUCACUUGUGAAAUCUCCGGGCUUAACUCGGAACGGCCAAGUGAAACUGUCAUGCUAGAGUGCAGAAGGGGCAAUCGGAAUUCUUGGUGUAGCGGUGAAAUGCGUAGAUAUCAAGAGGAACACCUGAGGUGAAGACGGGUUGCUGGGCUGACACGUGACGCUGAUGCGCGAAAGCCAGGGGAGCAAACGGG